CUCGUAGGUGGCCAACUAAGUCAGACGUGAAAUCCCUCGGCUUAACCGGGGAACUGCGUCUGAUACUGGAUGGCUUGAGGUUGGGAGAGGGACGCGGAAUUCCAGGUGUAGCGGUGAAAUGCGUAGAUAUCUGGAGGAACACCGGUGGCGAAGGCGGCGUCCUGGACCAAUUCUGACACUGAGGAGCGAAAGCCAGGGGAGCAAACG
rnacentral:rRNA from 1 species